rnacentral:rRNA from 1 species
UACGUAGGGUGCUAGCGUUGCUCGGAAUCACUGGGCGUAAAGGGUGCGUAGGCGGGUCUUUAAGUCAGGGGUGAAAUCCUGGAGCUCAACUCCAGAACUGCCUUUGAUACUGAGGAUCUUGAGUUCGGGAGAGGUGAGUGGAACUGCGAGUGUAGAGGUGAAAUUCGUAGAUAUUCGCAAGAACACCAGUGGCGAAGGCGGCUCACUGGCUCGGUACUGACGCUGAGGUGCGAAAGCGUGGGGAGCAAACAGGG